rnacentral:rRNA from 1 species
AAAACAUUGUCUCAUGAAAUAAAUAUGAGAUAGUACCUGCCCAGUGACACUGUUCAACGGCCGCGGUAUCCUAACCGUGCAAAGGUAGCAUAAUCACUUGCCUAUUAAUUGUAGGCUAGAAUGAAAGGUUUAACGAAAUAAACACUGUCUCAAUUAGCUAACUAAAAAUUAUUAUCUACACGAAGAAAUGUAGAUAAAAUCGAAGGACAAGAAGACCCUAUAGAGCUUAAUUUAACCUGUAGGAUACACUACAUAAAAAUUCGGUUGGGGCGACCCCGGGCUAAAUAAUCACCCACUACGUAUAAGAUUAAUUAAUCAACUAAGUGACCCUACAAAGAUCAUAAAACCAAGCUACCUUAGGGAUAACAGGCUAAUCCCACUAAAGAGUCCUUAUCAAUAGUGGGGGUUGGCACCUCGAUGUUGGCUUAGGAUAUCUAUAUGGCGCAAAAGUUAUAUAAAGAUGGUUUGUUCAACCAAUAACAUCCUACGUGAUCUG